AAAUGUUCUUCCUUGAGCUGCGUCACCCCGCUGUAGUCUGUAAUGGACUGGCCUGAGGUCUCUCUACAAACAAGCGUCUGCUGGAAGAGAGUAGGUGAGUUGUGUUUAGUCUCUUUGCUAAAGAAAUGAGUCAAAGUUAAAAAGAUGUUUGGUGUCUAGUACUAUGUCUGUGACCCUAUAUGUACUAACCUCAGUAGAACAUGGUGUAGUUCUGUUCAGUAACAGAACCUCAUUGGAAAAUUAGCUGAUUUAACUUUACUGUGCUCUUGUUCAAAUAUAUUAACUCGACAGCACAUAAAUCCAUACCUGUUAACAAAAUCAUGAUUUUAUUGAUAAUGCGGCUCAAUAAAAACACCUUUACCUUUUCAUUUUACUACAGUAGAAGUUUAUUGGCCCAGAUUAUAGACUACAGAAGUGGAGAAACGCCCCCACUUAAGUUUAUGUUUUCUUAGGAGUUAGAACAACUCUGAAUAUAGUACUAUGUCUGUGACCCUAUAUGUCCUGUUGAUGAAGUUAGGUGCUGUUCUGAGC